GACAGAGGCCCCAAGCGUUAGGCGGAAUCACUGGGCUUAAAGCGUGUGUAGGCGGAUCGUUAAGUGUUUUGUGAAAUCCCACGGCUCACCCGUGGAACUGCUGGGCAUACUGGCGAUCUUGGGCCAACUAGGGGCAGUCGGAACAAGCGGUGGAGCGGUGAAAUGCGUAGAUAUCGCUUGGAACGCCGAAGGUGAAAACAGACUGCUGGGGUUGCGCCGACGCUGAGACACGAAAGCCAGGGGAGCAAACGGG
rnacentral:rRNA from 1 species